UACGGAGGGGGCUAGCGUUGUUCGGAAUUACUGGGCGUAAAGCGCGCGUAGGCGGACCUGCAAGUCGGGGGUGAAAGCCCGAGGCUCAACCUCGGAACUGCCUUCGAUACUGCGGGUCUCGAGUCCGGGAGAGGUGAGUGGAAUUCCUAGUGUAGAGGUGAAAUUCGUAGAUAUUAGGAAGAACACCGGUGGCGAAGGCGGCGACCUGGUCCUUGACUGACGCUGAGGCGCGAAAGCUAGGGGAGCAAACAGG
rnacentral:rRNA from 1 species